GAUGGAAGAACGUAGCGAAAUGCGAUAAGUAAUGUGAAUUGCAGAAUUCAGUGAAUCAUCGAAUCUUUGAACGCACAUUGCGCCCCCUGGUAUUCCGGGGGGCAUGCCUGUUCGAGCGUCAUUUCACCACUCAAGCCUCGCUUGGUAUUGGGCAACGCGGUCCGCCGCGUGCCUCAAAUCGACCGGCUGGGUCUUCUGUCCCCUAAGCGUUGUGGAAACUAUUCGCUAAAGGGUGUUCGGGAGGCUACGCCGUAAAACAACCCCAUUUCUAAGGUUGACCUCGGAUCAGGUAGGGAUACCCGCUGAACUUAAGCAUAUCAAUAAGCGGAGGA
rnacentral:misc_RNA from 1 species